GCCCCACCCACCUAGAGGAGCCUGUUCUAUAAUCGAUAACCCCCGCUUAACCUCACCACUUCUUGCCAAUACCGCCUAUAUACCACCGUCGCCAGCCCACCCCGUGAGGGAAAUAGUAGGCACAAUGAUAAGUCACCAAAACGUCAGGUCAAGGUGUAGCGUAUGAAGUGGGAAGAAAUGGGCUACAUUCUCUAACCUAGAGCACACGAAAAAUCAUAUGAAAUUAGAUUAGAAGGAGGAUUUAGUAGUAAAAAGAAACAAUAGUGUUCUUUUUAAGUUGGCCCUGGGGCGCGCACACACCGCCCGUCACCCUCUUCAACUAAUAAAACACGAUUUAUAAAACAUAAAACAAACACAAGAAGAGGUAAGUCGUAACAUGGUAAGUAUACCGGAAGGUGUGCUUGGAAUUAC
rnacentral:rRNA from 1 species